rnacentral:rRNA from 1 species
AGGGAAUCUUCCACAAUGGGCGCAAGCCUGAUGGAGCAACACCGCGUGAGUGAAGAAGGGUUUCGGCUCGUAAAGCUCUGUUGUUAAAGAAGAACACGUAUGAGAGUAACUGUUCAUACGUUGACGGUAUUUAACCAGAAAGUCACGGCUAACUACGUGCCAGCAGCCGCGGUAAUACGUAGGUGGCAAGCGUUAUCCGGAUUUAUUGGGCGUAAAGAGAGUGCAGGCGGUUUUCUAAGUCUGAUGUGAAAGCCUUCGGCUUAACCGGAGAAGUGCAUCGGAAACUGGAUAACUUGAGUGCAGAAGAGGGUAGUGGAACUCCAUGUGUAGCGGUGGAAUGCGUAGAUAUAUGGAAGAACACCAGUGGCGAAGGCGGCUACCUGGUCUGCAACUGACGCUGAGACUCGAAAGCAUGGGUAGCGAACAGGAUUAGAUACCCUUGGUAGUCCAUGCCGUAAACGAUGAGUGCUAGGUGUUGGAGGGUUUUCCGCCCUUCA